ensembl:lncRNA
GUCCUGCUCGUCUCUUCACCUAGAUGAAGGCGGAAAGAGGGGGUACCGAGAGUCGCGGCGAGGUUCAGUAGUCGGUCUCGAAGCCGACAUUCUCUAUCCUCCCGGAAGUAUGUUCACCCUGGUAUAAAUGCUGAGAAGACAACAGUGAACAAAACAGGCAAACAUCCUUGCCCUCGUGGAGUUGAUAUUCGAGUUGGGGAGGACCAUAAAACAGCCUGAGUUGACUCUUCUUGAAGGGGAAGCUCUUUUCAGUAUGGCAGCAGGGAGCCGUCCACAUAAGGAAAGGCUACAUGUCCUGGACUCCUGGGCUGACUGGGCACCACUCUGAGUUGCUGGGCCCCAUUAAUGGUAGACACUUCUGGAGAUUAGACGGAUCAAGGAAGAAGCCAGAGUAUCCCCACC